GAUGAACGCUGGCGGCGUGCUUAACACAUGCAAGUCGAACGGAAAGGCUCCUGCUUGCAGGGGUACUCGAGUGGCGAACGGGUGAGUAACACGUGGGUGAUCUGCCCUGCACUUCGGGAUAAGCUGGGGAAACUGGGUCUAAUACCGGAUAGGACGAUGGUUUGGAUGCCAUUGUGGAAAGUUUUUCGGUGUGGGAUGAGCUCGCGGCCUAUCAGCUUGUUGGUGGGGUAAUGGCCUACCAAGGCGUCGACGGGUAGCCGGCCUGAGAGGGUGUACGGCCACAUUGGGACUGAGAUACGGCCCAGACUCCUACGGGAGGCAGCAGUGGGGAAUAUUGCACAAUGGGCGCAAGCCUGAUGCAGCGACGCCGCGUGGGGGAUGACGGCCUUCGGGUUGUAAACUCCUUUCGUCAGGGACGAAGCGAAAGUGACGGUACCUGGAUAAGAAGCACCGGCUAACUACGUG
rnacentral:rRNA from 1 species